rnacentral:rRNA from 1 species
CCUACGGGGGGCUGCAGUAAGGAAUAUUGGUCAAUGGACGAAAGUCUGAACCAGCCAUCCCGCGUGCAGGAUGAAAGCCCUAUGGGUUGUAAACUGCUUUUCGCAGAGAAGAAAAGCUUCCAUUUAUGUGGGUCUGACGGUAUCUGCAGAAUAAGCACCGGCUAACUCCGUGCCAGCAGCCGCGGUAAUACGGAGGGUGCGGGCGUUAUCCGGAAUUACUGGGUUUAAGGGGUGCGUAGGCGUCAUUGGAGAAAUCUUGGCGCUUAACGAUAAAAUUGCCAAUGAUACUGGUACUCUUGAAGUGGGUUGAGGUUAGCGGAAUGUGACAUGUAGCGGUGAAAUGCAUAGAUAUGUCAUGGAACACCAAUUGCGAAGGCAGCUAACUGGGCCUUGAUUGACGCUGAGGCACGAAAGCGUGGGUAGCGAACAGGAUUAGAUACCCUAGUAGUC